GGAGUCUGCAACUCGACUCCAUGAAGUCGGAAUCGCUAGUAAUCGUGGAUCAGAAUGCCACGGUGAAUACGUUCCCGGGCCUUGUACACACCGCCCGUCACACCAUGGGAGUGGGUUGCAAAAGAAGUAGGUAGCUUAACCUUCGGGAGGGCGCUUACCACUUUGUGAUUCAUGACUGGGGUGAAGUCGUAACAAGGUAACCGUAGGGGAACCUGCGGUUGGAUCACCUCCUUACCUUAAAGAAGC
rnacentral:rRNA from 1 species